GCCAACAAAAGCCUAUGAUGACCUCUCUUUUUUUGGUUUAAUUUAUGUUUUAUUAUUAAUCAAAGUAACAUUACAAGAAUGGGCCAACCCAUCCUAAAAAAACACCAAAAAACAAAAAAGAACCGGGUAGGCCCAAACACAAAAGAACCAUGACCCGACCCAACACAAAUCACUUAAUAAAUGUGUAGAGUUUCCUAAACGAGCUAAGAUCAGCUCACAAAAAAAAUCCUCUCCGCCUCUUCUCCUUUUUCCAUGGCUUUCUUCAUCAUUCUCCAGCUCAAGAUGCUCCUGCUUUCGGUAAUAAAUUUCAUUCCUUGGUAUAGCUAUGAUGAAUUCUUCUCCAGCUGCAGGACUGAGAUCUCCGGUACUAAGGUGUGUGAAUAGUUUUUUGGUGCACAAAAAUAGGGUCUUGUCCGCUUAGGCCUGACAUAUAUUCCUGUUAUGAAAGGGAGGGAGAUAAUGAGAUGCUCAGAUCCAUUGGUAACUGGAUGAUGCCAAAAACCCAAGUUGCAUGUGUUGACAAUCUGAUCAUCGACCCCUGAUCUGCUGAGAGUCUUUUUUGUUGGCUGGUUCCUUAGGCUAAGUAACAUUUCCCCUUUCUUGUUCCCCAUCUUGGAAUGUACAGAUGACUGUGAAUGAACUGUACUAGCCUGUCCAGUCUAUAUAAUUAUGUGUAACAGCUAGUCUUAGAUAAGAUGCCUGAUACUUAUUACUAUUUAGUAUCCUUCUAGCUGCACUAAGCAGUUGAUGAAAUUUUGUAUAUGUGAAUGAAAUCUGCUCCACUGCCAUGUUAGCUAAAUAGUCUGCUAGUUGAUUA